rnacentral:lncRNA from 1 species
AAAAAAAACAAACCUAAAUGUAUGCUGUGCUUCAGACAAUAGUUAUAACUGAACAAAUCUUUAGACUAAUGGAUGAAUGCUAUCUUGACUAUACAGAAGAAUGAAAGAGGUACUUCAGUAAAGUAUUCAAGAAGUGUUUUGUGAAUGCACAAAAUGGAUCCCUGUGGAGAUGGAGAAUGAGAUGAAGAGAAAUCAGACUGAUUAUGCUGAAACCAGUGCUACAAAAAAGGAUGCUUGAAAGGACAAGUGAGCUGGCUGGUAGAAGAGAAGCUGACCUGCUUCAGGAGGAGCAGAACUAACAUCCCCAGGUUUCAUAUGGAUUUGUCUUCCCUCCUGUAUGUUUUCUUCCUUUUCUCCACUGCUACCUGUAUGUUUUGCUGAGUUAAAACAGCAGCACAUACGUAG